AGGCCCCUAUGGCACCUCCUGGGAGGGAAGUCAGUGUGGGCACCAGGAUCAGGCCUGACUGCAGAGCGCUUCUUGGCCUGCUGACUGAGCCCCUUAAAUGACUUUGUUUUGGAAACCAGAAAACGGAUUUUUUCUGAGAUGUUAGGAAAUAAUAUUUUAACAGAGGCCUUGCUCUCUAGUCUCUGGUUUGAAGGUAUCAUUGUUUGGUUUCUCCUUCUGAGCACAAGACUCCCCUGUUCUGUUCUAUUCUGUUCUUUUUCCUUCCCUGCAGAGAAGAGAACAGAAGAAUAACAGCAGAAGAUACGCAGCCUGUAAUGGACUGAAUAUCUGUGUCCCCCUAAACCCACAUAUUGAAAUCCUUCCCCCAGUGUGAUGCUGUUUGGAAGUGGGGCCUUUGGGAGGUGAUUGGGUCAUAGGGGUGCAGCCCUCAUGGAUGGAUGAAUGCCCUUCUAAGCCCAGGCCAGAGGGCUAGCUUGCUGUUUCUCCUCCAGGUGAGGAUACAACUAGAAGCCAGCAGUCUACAGGCUGGAAGAAGGCCCUCACCAGAACCCAACCCUUGGACUUCAGCCUCCAGAACUGUGAGAAAUACAUACCUGCUGUUUAUUCAUUCAGCUUUUCCAGACCAGGCAUCACCGAGCGGAGAGAGGGGAAACACCCUGGCUUCUCUUUGGCACAUCAGCCCCUAGUUCUUGAGAGAGAAGGGCAGGGUGGUCUACUCACCAUGUCUGUAUCCUGCCGUUCUUCAUUUGACUCAUCCUGGAUUUCUAACUCUUCUUCCUCGUCCUCUUCCAUAAGGCUGAGUCUGAUGUAGGGGCAAAGAGACUGGCUUUUCAAACUGUUCUUUGAGGACCCCUGAGAGUUUCUCAGACACCCGGGGUGGGGGAAGUGGGGAGCAGUAAGUACAGCAUAGUAGUUUCCCGAUUGUGCUGACAGGAAGUGCUCUGUGGCUAAAACAAGUCCAAAAAGCACCCACAGAGAGGCAAUGGGUGAGACAGGAAUCCCCUCACAGUGGGCGACAGAUCUGAAGUGAAGACAGGAGAUGAUGAGAAAAGCUCACCGCAUCAGCUGGUUGCCCAGGCCAGGACCUGAAGGGUUGUGUGGAGUCUGGAAAUAUUGUGGACCCAAGAACCUUGACCUCUCGGUGCCUGCGACGGGCUGACUGCUGGGAAUGAAGCAGGAUCAAUGAUGGGAUAAAAAUCAAGGGUAAGAAGAGGAUGUAAGGCAGCUGGUGUUAAUGGGGAGAAAAGCUCAGAGAGAUGCAUUUUAAAGCUAAACAAUGGAGAAGGGUUUGAGAAGAACCCAACAAUGUGGGAGUGCUACAGCAGGGAACCAUGAAACAGAAACAGCAAGAUGGAGGCAGCCAGACACCAAACUGGGAACUCAGACACCCAGAUUCCCUCCAUGGCCUCACCCCUGGGCAAAAUCCAACUCUGAGCCAUCUUCUUCCUCCAUCUCUUUCAACCCCCACAGGGGCUGCCUGCUCUUCACAGCUGUGGAGGUGAGGGUGGGCGUGGGCGGGAUGCUGUUCAGCUGCAGACUUUCUUCCUGGGACGAGGAGACGUCCUCUCUGUUAGGCUUGGCAGGCCCUGCCAAGCAGAUGCAUACAUUAACCACAGCCCAGGGCCUGCGACAGGUGUGCUCUCUUUCCAAGACCUGCCCAGGAUUUAGUAAGGGAAAGUCAAUCAGGAAGAGAAUGGAAAACUUAUACAGCUUCAUUCUGUUGCCCUCAAAUGGGCAUAGCCCUAUGUACUAAAUACAUAGCCCUAUGUACCAAAAAGUAAGGCUUAGAGAAUUGUAGCUAGGCCUUGUCCAAGAAGAACUUGCUACACAGCCUAGAAAACAAGAUGGAAAGAUAUAUAAAUAUACAUUUCACAGAUAAACUGUAACAGGUGAACAGGUGAACACAAACAUGAGGGAGGGUUGGAGUCUCUAAGAUUGAGAGGUCUGAGUUAGCCAAUGAAGACAUCUGAGAUCCUAUCCAAGAUUUCUGUGGUCAGAAAAAGCUGUAAAUGGCAAUAGAGUUUUGGUACCAGAGGCUAGAGUGGACAAAUGAGGGCCAGGGAGGAACCGGAAAAUGGGAGACAGGAUUUUCUAAAAGCUAGAAAAAAAUGAAGUGAUUGCAAUGCCAGUAUAACUGAUAUGAUAUGAAGGGGGACUUAUCUCCUGCAGAGAUUGGAGAAGGUAGAGGAGGAGAAAGAAUCCAAAGAUUCUCACUGCCUGAGAAAACCCAGGCAAUACUAUUUUAAAGCAUCAGUCAAAUUGACAUUAACAUCUGUUAACUGUAAACAGUCACACUCCCAUUACCCCCCUUCUCCACUAAAAACAAUAAUCCCAAAGUGAGCGCUCAGCCUAUGGGUUUAAGCAGAGGGCUACAGAAAACAGGGAAGAGACAUACCCCUGGGCUUGGAUUCCCAGAGAGGAAACCUUGGGGCCCCAGAUGUGUCCUCCUGAUCUCCCUGAGCUAUUAAUGGUGUGAUGCCCGAGGGCUGGGCCCUUGAGUCUCUCCUCUUCUCCAUCUUCACUGGCUUCCCCAGCCACUCACGUUCAUGUCCUUAAAUAUCACCUAUACUCUGCCACAUCCCAAAGGGAUCUCAAGCCUUCAGCUCUCCCCUGAACUCCAUCUUAACAGCCCCCAUGGUUUGUUCAACAUCUCCACCUGUAAUCCUGUGGCCAACACCAAUGCCCCAACCUUCCCCCACAGCUAUCUUCACUCUCUGCCUUCCCCAUCUCAGAUACUGUCAACUCCAUCCUUCUGUCAGGCCAAAAUCCUUGGAGCCAUCCUCAACUGCUCUUUUUGUCUUACAUCCCACAUCCAGUUUGUCAGAAAAGCCUAUUAGAGAUACCUUGAAAAUGCACCCAGAAUCUGGCCGUUUCUCGGCACCUCCACCAUUGCCCCCGGCCUAAGAAGCUCUCUUAUCUUGCAUCUUGGGCUGGACUCCUACAACAGCCACAACCUCCCUGCUGGUCUCCCAGCUUCUAGCCUUCCCCCAUCUCCUGUCGUUUUCGACACAGCAGCCAGAAGGAUCCUUUAAAAACAGAGGUUGAUCCUGUCGUUCCUCAAAAUCCUCCAAUGGUUUUCCUACUGCACUCAGAGUAAAAGCCAGUCUCUGCCUUAGAUGCUCUGGGAUCCUGUACCCUCUUUGGUCUCAUGUCCUACAAUCUGCAUUCUGGCCAUAAUGGUCUUCUCUGCUGUUCCUUGAACAUUCCAGGAACAUUCCCCCCAUCCCCUCGUGGCCUCAGGACUGGCUGCUUCCUUUGGUAUGCUAUUCUGAUACACACUAAGCACCCUCCCUCACCUGUUAUAAAAAAUUCGCUGGGAGGCCAAUAGGCUGAAAUGGCUCCUGCACUUUGGGUUCCUAAGUCAGCAAACUGAAACUCAACUCAGAGUGAAAGUGUUGUGUGUAACCUAGGAGCAGGAAACUUCAGCUUAACCAGUCAGAAACUACCGACUAACCUCUAACAAGAGAUUUAUGGUCAGUUAACCUCUAAAUAUGAACUUUCCACUCUAACCAAUCAAAUAGUUUCUUUGUCUUGCUCCCAGAGACACCUUGUAAGUGUCCCCUCUGGUUUCCUCGGUGGUGGCGCCCUGAACUGCUGGCGGUCUGCCACUGCCUGAUUGAUAAAAUUGC
rnacentral:lncRNA from 1 species